CACCCACCCCUGAAGCCUCAAUCAUGAGAAGCAUCCCAGAAUGAGACGUAUUCAGUUGCUCAAUCAAGAAGAAGCUGCCAGGCACAGUGGCUUGUGCCUGUAACCCCAGAACUUUGAGAGGCUGAGCGGGGUGGAUCACCCAAAGUCAGGAGUUCAAGACCAGCCUGGCCAACAUGGUGAAAUGCCGUCUCUACUAAAAAUACAAAAAUUCGCUGGGUGUGGUGGUGGGUGCUUGUAAUCCUAGCUACUCAGGAGGCUGAGACAGGAGAAUCCCUUGAACCCAGAGGCAGAGGUUACAGUGAGCCGAGAUCGUGCCACUGCCCUCCAGCCUGGGCAACAAAGAGUGAAACUCUUGUCUAAAAAAAAAAAGAAGAAGAAGAAGGAGAAGGAGAAGGAGCGGGAGAAGGAGAAGAAGAAGAAGAAGAAGAAGCCUCAGUGAAGUGCUCCAGCAUCUUCACCCCCUUGGUCACUUGCUCAUCUCCUUGAUGAACAAAAGCGGCCCCAGAUCAGAGCCAUCGAGCACCUGCAGCCAGCAAGGUUGGCUGGUUUUCAUUGUGUGCAUUUUUAAGGCGUCUUCUAUUUAUAGAAAGGAUUGUGGUCUUGCAUUUGUAGCAGCGAUGAAAGCUUUACUUUUUGGCAAAAUGUGUGCAAGUUGUUUAGAA
rnacentral:lncRNA from 1 species